ensembl:snoRNA U3 Small nucleolar RNA U3
AAGCCUCUACUUGUAGGGAUCUUUACUGUAGUUUGUUACUGGAGAAGUUUUUCUGAUCAUGUAAAGCAUCCAAAACCACGAUGAGGAGGCGCAGUGUUCUUUUCUGAUGUUGAAGCAGGUUCUCCACGUUGCUUCUGCAACUGCCAUUUGCCUUUGAUCGCUCUUCUCUUCCUUUGGGAGAGGAAGAGAGAGAAAACACCGCCUGAGUGGU